AAAAAAAAAGAAAAAGAAGAAGAAAUACCAUGGACAUCACUUGUACAUCCGAAGAAGGAUUAGCGCAGCCUAUGAGCCCCACGUCACAAUAUGUUAGCAACUCUGUCUUGACACUUACCAUUCUUGGUGUUCUGGAAUUUGAAGUCCCCAUCAAUGACCUUCAGGCCUGUUCAUUCAUCCAAAACGUUUUCCUUUCAAUCAACCCUCGUUUCUCCUCUGUCAUGGUAUAACCUAAUAUAUAUAAUACAUUCUUAUAUAUGUUACAUGCACGAUGCAUGCAAAUAUUUUUGAGAAUCACAGAGCAAUAGCUCAGUUGGUUAUAUCUCUAGACUUAAUGUAGAUGACGCUAAUGUCGAGAGUUCGAAUCAAUUGGAAGUAUUUCCCUAAGAUUUUCUUGGUUCCAUAGGCUUGCCCACUUCGGGGAGAGGGGAGGGGGAGGGGUUUAAUAGCCUCAUUUUCCCGCAUGGGUUUCGGCCUGGUUUACCUGUCAUCGGAGUGCUCAGGGUUGUUUUAGUUGUCCGAGGUUUACACCCACUCCACUAUUCGAAGCCCAUGCUCGUUUCCUAAAAUUUUAUUGGUUCCAUGGGCCUAUCCAAUUUCAGAGAGGGGUUAGUAUCCUCAUUUCUCCUGCACGAGCUUCGGCCAUGCUUACCUAUCGUUAGUGUAGUGCGAGCAGUUCUAAUGGCUUGAGGUUUAUGCCCACUCAACUAUCCGAAGACCAUGCCAGGCGUUCCUUGGUCACAAUUUUUUUAGGUGUUUGUUAGCAUUUUGUUUGCUAUUGUCAAUUAAUGGAGAGCCAUGCAUGUGUUUUGGACAGGUUACAGACGAAAAGGGAGUGAAAAAAUGGAAGAAGGUUUAAGUGAAUAUCAAAGAUCAUAUUAGAGUCCCAUUUUUCCUCCUAGCAAGUCUCCAGAGUUCUACGACAAGUGUCAACAUUGAUCAGCAUUGAUCAUGUAUAUACGAAGAGGAGCUCAAGAACACAUACACCAGGAAAAAAAAGAAGAAGAAAUUCCAUGGAGAUCAGUUGUACAUCCGAAGAAGGAUUAAUACGUUAGCAACUCUGUCUUGACAUUACCAUUCUUGGUGUUCUAGAAUUUGAAGUUUCCAUCAGUGACCUUCCGAUCACCUAUUCAUUGAUCCAAAGUGAGAAGCCCUCAAGCCCACAUAACUAUACAAGUAUAUAAAUACUUCAUGAGACCAUAACUCAAAAAGAAAUGAGCAAUCUUUACAACCAGUUCUAUGUGAUAAUUAUGCCAAAUUAGUUGAGUUGUUUUUGAAAAAUGGUUUGUAAUUAUAAUGGUGGUUUGCUAUGUGGCAUGUAAACAUUGACUGCCACGCAACACAAUGCAUCUGGUCUGUGUCUGCUCUGUGGAGUUUGGGCCACACUGGGCAAUAAUUAUUUCUCAUAUGAAGAUAAGAUCAUACGGUUGUGGAAUGUAGCUACAAGAUUUGAGUUGAUUCAACCCCCCCGGCUAAGGAAAAGCUGUUAUAACUUAUCAGCAUCGAUGUGUAUAUUUGUAAGAAUGAUUGGAUAUGAGUGUUACACCAGAGAGUCUAAUACUUGAACAUAUAUAUAUAUAUAUAUAUAGUUGAUGAAUCAAAUUACUAAUAUCUGGUAGCUUUUGAAAGGUGGUGAUCCCCUUCUGAAUUUGAAUAAAUCACUGUUUGCAACUUUUCA